AAAUAACAAUUAUUUGGAGCUUUUGCAGAAAAUUAGAGGAACGUCCAAAAGCGAGCUUUCCGCAAUAGGACAGCAUCAGAUUUACACUGAACCAGGAUAGAAGGCCACAGGUGAAAAUCACAGGAAUGCAUUUAUUUUCAGUGAGGCCUGUUCUGAGUUUCACAGGGAUGUGCCACGCACUAGCCCUACAUUAAAGUAUAUUUGGGAUUUGGGAAGGUGGUGUCUUUGUGUGUUUAUUUCUUUCUACUCAAGUGAAAAUUCUUUCUUAGGCAAAAAGCCCCAAAGCACAGGAAAUAUCGCGAAGUUGUGAGUAGUGGGGUGGGGGAGGGGGGGACGGAAAGCUGCUUUUGGCCCCAAAGUCUUCAGAAUGGACACUAGGAAAUAACCUGUCAUGUGACCUCCAGGAACAUGAAGACUUGAGGAACCACUUUUCUGAGAAGACUUGCCUGGCAAAUACCCCACCCACAGCUUCCUCCUACCAGCUCAUCCUAAAGCAGUUCACGGUUGGCAAGGCCAGAGCAUCCACCUUGUCCCCUCUCCCCACCCUCCAAUGCGGCUCAGGGGAGACUGCAGAUUUAGAAGAUUCAUCCAAACUCAGAAGUAUUAGUCACAACAUAAUUUAAGGAUAAUGAUGAACUGGGGUUUCACCUGAAGUACAAAGUGUUUCAUGAACAAUCCUUGGAGCAGCCUUGCAACUAAUCAUGACUUAAGUCAACUGGAAGGCAGUGCUGAGGGUUUCACAGAUGCCACCAGGAUGGGACUCCAAUUCCUCAGUGGUCUCUGUGGCAUCCUAAGACAAUUAGCAUAAACCAAUGAAAUAACGUCUUUUAUUAUUACUUAAUCUUGCUGCUUACCACAAUUACUAUUACAUUAGUUACCAAAUGACCUGAAAGAACCUCAAUUAAAAAGAAGAAACAAAAGCAGUGUGGCCAUUUCAAUACUGAAAUGGUGAAAUGAAUUUUUGAGAACUUAAGGACCAAGACAGUACAAGGGUAGAAGCAAGCAGACUUAGGUGGCUAUUUUGCAAGUCCAGGCAGAUUAAAAA
rnacentral:lncRNA from 1 species